rnacentral:rRNA from 1 species
CUUGGUCAUUUAGAGGAAGUAAAAGUCGUAACAAGGUCUCCGUUGGUGAACCAGCGGAGGGAUCAUUAAAGAGUUGCAAAACUCCCUAAACCAUUGUGAACGAACCCCUGAACAGUUGCUUCGGCAGGCUGGCUUCCCCUCCCCUGGGGUGAGCUGCCAAAAGCUUGCCGGAGGCACCGAAACGAUUGUUUUAUACUGGCCUCUCUGAGUAUUUUGUACUUAAUAAGUCAAAACUUUCAACAACGGAUCUCUUGGUUCUGGCAUCGAUGAAGAACGCAGCGAAAUGCGAUAAGUAAUGUGAAUUGCAGAAUUCAGUGAAUCAUCGAAUCUUUGAACGCACAUUGCGCCCGCCAGUAUUCUGGCGGGCAUGCCUGUUCGAGCGUCAUUUCAACCAUCAAGCCCUAGGCUUGUGUUGGGGACCCGCGUCUGACGCGGGCCCUGAAAACCAGUGGCGGGCUCGCUGUCCACACCGAGCGUAGUAACUAACCUCGCUCCGGCCGUGCUGCGUGCACCUGCCGUAAAACCUCCACUAUACCAAAGGUUGACCUCGGAUCAGGUAGGAAUACCCGCUGAACUUAAGCAUAUCAAUAAGCGGAGGAAAAGAAACCAACAGGGAUUGCCUCAGUAACGGCGAGUGAAGCGGCAACAGCUCAAAUUUGAAAUCUGGCCUCGGCCCGAGUUGUAAUUUGUAGAGGAAGCUUUUGGCACGGCACCGACCGAGUCCCCUGGAACGGGGCGCCAUAGAGGGUGAGAGCCCCGUAUGGUUGGACGCCUAGCCUCUGUAAAGCUCCUUCGACGAGUCGAGUAGUUUGGGAAUGCUGCUCAAAAUGGGAGGUAAAUUUCUUCUAAAGCUAAAUAUUGGCCAGAGACCGAUAGCGCACAAGUAGAGUGAUCGAAAGAUGAAAAGCACUUUGAAAAGAGGGUUAAAUAGCACGUGAAAUUGUUGAAAGGGAAGCGCCUGUGACCAGACUUGCGCCUCGUCAAUCAUCCGGGGUUCUCCCCGGUGCACUCGGCGGGGCUCAGGCCAGCAUCGGUUUUCGUGGGGGGACAAAGGUCCCGGGAACGUAGCUCCUCCGGGAGUGUUAUAGCCCGGGGCGUAAUGCCCUCGCGGAGACCGAGGACCGCGCUUCGGCAAGGAUGCUGGCGUAAUGGUCACCAGCGACCCGUCUUGAAACACGGACCAAGGAGUCAAGGUUUUGCGCGAGUGUUUGGGUGUAAAACCCGCACGCGUAAUGAAAGUGAACGUAGGUGAGAGCUUCGGCGCAUCAUCGACCGAUCCUGAUGUAUUCGGAUGGAUUUGAGUAGGAGCGUUAAGCCUUGGACCCGAAAGAUGGUGAACUAUGCUUGGAUAGGGUGAAGCCAGAGGAAACUCUGGUGGAGGCUCGCAGCGGUUCUGACGUGCAAAUCGAUCGUCAAAUCUGAGCAUGGGGGCGAAAGACUAAUCGAACCAUCUAGUAGCUGGUUACCGCCGAAGUUUCCCUCAGGAUAGCAGUGUUGUUCUUCAGUUUUAUGAGGUAAAGCGAAUGAUUAGGGACUCGGGGGCGCUUUUUAGCCUUCAUCCAUUCUCAAACUUUAAAUAUGUAAGAAGCCCUUGUUACUUAAUUGAACGUGGGCAUUCGAACGAACCAACACUAGUGGGCCAUUUUUGGUAAGCAGAACUGGCG